rnacentral:lncRNA from 1 species
GUAUCUUCAUGAGACAGAGGUAAAAUCUUCACUAAACUCUUAGCAUCAUUGAAACAUGUGUUGUAAAAGCAAGAAUGUUCAUAGUAUAUUGUUAAUCUAUUAAUGUAAACUUUUCAUAGAAAAUAUAUUGUCAGUGUAGUACUAUAUUCAGCAUCGUCUUCAGACAUUAUUUUUUUCUUUUUUGCCUUUUUCUUUGGCAGUUGGAUUCCUAGAGAGCAUGUUUGUUUUUAUCCCUGGUAUAAAAAAUAGAUGUUGCUUAUUGCCUUUAUAUGAAGGAGAGACUCCUUAUUGUUGUUGAUGCCUUCCUCUCUCAUGUUGGUAGCAUUGCAUGAAGGAAAUUAAGAUUGAGCACUCGAGUGAAUGUCCAAGAACAGCAUGUAUUGAGACACAAUGUAUUUAUUCUUCCGAGGAAGGACAGAUCUUGCAAAAGAUUGAUGAUCUUUCGAGAUCGUUGGAUGAGCCCGAUGAUAGUAACGAAGCCGAUGUUACUGAUGAUUCUGAUGCUAGCAACGAUUCUUAUAAUAACAACUUGCCAAAAUUUAUUAAUUUUAUUUGAGCCUAUAUUUGCUAUUUGGGUAUUUUGGGAUUGUGGUAGCCUUAUUGGAUUCUCUUGUAAUGUUUCAUUAGUCCAAUGUUCAUAGCUUCUAAUGAACCAAUUAAAGGGUAUUGCUAUUAAACUAACAUUUCAAUACAAAGUGUUGAUUUAUGACUUGUGUGUGGAUUGUACAUGGAACUUCUUGAAGCUACCAAAACUAAAAAUUUAGUUCACUGAUGAAAAAAUUGAUACAAUAUUGUUUCUUGCUUGAUUAGAUUACAUGGUGAUUAGGAUAAUAUAUACAAUGAUGAUAAGAAAUUCUCGUAACAGUUCUAAGGCUUGACAUGAGUGAAUUUUUUUUUUUUUUUUUUUGGUUUGAACCACGAGAUGGUCCUGAGUGGGCCCCAACUGUGGGAGGCACCUUUAAGCCCGUACCACAACUCAGACUAAUCCCCGCUCGCACCGGGUCGGCCCAUAAGGGGUAAAGUGCUGGCCAAAGUGGUGACUCCAUACGAGAGCGGGACUUGAACCUCUGACCUCUCUUAAGGAGUGAGAGUGCCGAACCACUCACACCAACCAACUUUGGUUUGACAUGAGUGAAUUUCCUAUUGAUUGUAUUAUAAAAUAUGGAAGGCUAGAGAGAUUCUUACCAAAAUUAUCAUGAAGUUAUUGUUCUGCUAUCAAUCAAAUACUUGGCCGUUAUAAAUGAUUCUGGAACUUGAUAUGUCGUUGGCUUGCACUUUCCUUCCAUAGGUUCUGAAUGUUUGAUUGUUGCUAAAAUUCAUCCUGUGUAUGAAUCUCAUCUGCCCCCCUCAAACUAGGAUCGGUCAUGGGGUGAGUUCCAAGUUUGUGCCUAAAUUUUAGGAAGAGUUUCUUACACAGAGGCUUUGUAAAUAUGUCAGCAAUUUGAGAUAGAGAAGGAGUGUAUCUUGUGUCAAGCAAUCCUUGUGUGCCUUUCUCACGAACAACAUGGUAGUC